CACUUGUUCCUCAGGAUGUGAGAGAGUUGCAGAAUCAAUAAGGACUCCAGAGCUGCCCAAAUGCUGUGUCAUCUCUCUGUUUCUAUAAAGUAGCAUAAGCAUCAGUUCUUCUAUGUAAAAGACUCAGGGGACUGCAGUCUGUAUUGAUUUUGGCUGGGAUAGAGUUAAUUUUCUUCCCGGUAGCUCCUGUGGUUCUGUGUUUCGGAUCUGUGCUGAUAACUGUGAGAGGUUUUCAUUAUUGCUGAGAAGCACUUGCACAGCAUCAAGGCCUUUUCUGUUUUUCUCACCACCCCAACAGCAUCUGGACUGCGGGGCACAAGGAGCUGUGAGGGGACAGAGCCAGGGCAACUGACCCCGGGAUGUCCCACACCAUAUGGCAUCAUGCUCUGCAUAUAAAGCUGGGGGAGGAAGGAGGAAGGUGGGGAUGCUGCUGCUUGUUUUCCUGAGCCAUCUGAUCCAUCAUCCUGAUACAUGAUGGAGACCAGCCUUCCUGGAGAUGGCUGAACAAAUGCCUGCCCAGGGAAAGAGUAGAUGCUGCUUCCUCUUGAAGGAAGAAGAUACCUGUUCAGCCACAGUGUAUCCCCACGUGUUCUGGCUGCUUCUGGAGUCCCAGUAGCUCGGAGAAUAUGCUGCUAUUUCACCUCCUGGGAGCUGUCUCUGCAGGACUUGUCCCCAGCUGCUGGGGCACUCCAAAGAUGCAUAAGUAACAAAAGAAAAUCAGCAGGCUGGAGCCCGUGCUCAAUGCCACCACAGCUCGUGCCGCGUUGCGAUCUGAGUCUCCUGGAACAACAAUCAUCCAGAGCCACCCUUGCUGCAGA